GGACCUGACUGCUAUCGGAUUGAUACUAAGCCAUGCGAGUCAUUGUAGCAAUACAAGGCAUACGGCUCAGUAACGCGUAGUCAACCUAACCUAUGGACGGGAAUAACCUCGGGAAACUGAGAAUAAUGCCCGAUAGAACAUUAUGCCUGGAAUGGUUUAUGUUCCAAAUGAUUUAUCGCCGUAGGAUGGGACUGCGGCCUAUCAGUUUGUUGGUGAGGUAAUGGCCCACCAAGACUAUUACGGGUACGGGCUCUGAGAGGAGUAGCCCGGAGAUGGGUACUGAGACACGGACCCAGGCCCUAUGGGGCGCAGCAGGCGAGAAAACUUUGCAAUGUGCGAAAGCACGACAAGGUUAAUCCGAGUGGUUUCUGCUAAAGAAACCUUUUGUCAGUCCUAGAAACACUGAUGAAUAAGGGGUGGGCAAGUUCUGGUGU
rnacentral:rRNA from 1 species